GCAGGGACAGUCUUCUCCACAGACACCAGCCUGGCAUUCUCCCUUAGCCCAGGCCCUGGUCCUCACAGACCUGGUGAUGCCUGGCCACGGGGCCCAUGAGAGCCAGAUCCUCAUGCUUCUGUGAACAGAGCGCAGCCUUCAGUCACCUCUCUGCUGGCGUGUUCCUGGGUCCAUGAUGGAAGAAAGAAAAGUAUUUUUAAAAGACAGUCUAAAGCUUACACUGUGACUGCAACAUAAAGUGUGUUCACCUCAGGAGACACUUCCGUCGCGAGUGCAUCUCAGGUGGAUGGUGGAAACCUCAGAAGGCCACAGUCUAGAGUAGGGGCUCAAUGCAAGCUGCGGGAACUGAAUGAAGGUGAAGGGCAGCUGAUCCAUGAUCUUCCACUUCCCAGCCAGAAGGAGGAUGGAAAAGCAGAAGGGAGGGGGAGACAACCUCCUUUGCAGGGCGUGACUCAGAAGUUGUACACAUCAUUUCCAGUCACAUUCCAUGGACCAGAAUUAGCCCUGUGACCAACUGUGGCUGCCAGAAAGUCUCUGCUUGGGCGAUCAGGCAGGCAGUUACAUCUUUGGGAACAUCUCUCACCCCCUGGGAACACCUGGGCAGAAACUGAAGGGCAUUUAACACAUUCUCCUUUGUGUCUAAUAAGAAUUGUCCCCAUCAGUCGGAGCUCUCCUAUGUGCUGGGUACAUAGGUCAUCUUUACACAACCCAGCAAUGGAGAGCACACCAUUCCCAGACUGCAGAUGCAGAAACUGUGGCUCAGAGAGUUAAGCGACUUGUUCAGAUUCAGUCAGCUGGUAGAUGGUAGGUCUGGGAUUGAGACCCAGGCCUGGCUGGUCCUGCCAGGACACAGUAUUACAGCUUUGAUUGGGGGCGUCUUUUUGUUUACAUGUAUUUUUUUAUGCUCAAUGUACAUUACUUUUGAAAUACACAGAAAAGGGGAAGAAA